UACAGAGGGGGCAAGCGUUGUUCGGAAUUACUGGGCGUAAAGCGUGCGUAGACGGUUCUGUAAGUCGGAUGUGAAAUCCCCGGGCUCAACCUGGGAAUUGCAUUCGAGACUGCAAAGCUUGGGUGCGGAAGAGGGAAGCGGAAUUUCCGGUGUAGCGGUGAAAUGCGUAGAUAUCGGAAGGAACAUCAGUGGCGAAAAGCGGCU
rnacentral:rRNA from 1 species